rnacentral:rRNA from 1 species
UAAGGAAUAUUGGUCAAUGGACGGAAGUCUGAACCAGCCAUGCCGCGUGGAGGAUGACGGCCCUCUGGGUUGUAAACUUCUUUUAUAGGGGGCGAAAAAAGGGUUUUCUAACUCGUCUGACGGUACCCUAUGAAUAAGCACCGGCUAACUCCGUGCCAGCAGCCGCGGUAAUACGGAGGGUGCAAGCGUUAUCCGGAUUUACUGGGUUUAAAGGGAGCGCAGGCGGAUUGGUAAGUCAGUGGUGAAAUAC